rnacentral:rRNA from 1 species
UUAGGGCCGGCUAAUCUGGUGCCAGCCGCCGCGGUUACACCAUGUGGCCCAAAUUGACCCCAUCGGCGUAAAGCGUGAUUAAAGCUACACCUAUAGAAUAAAACUAAAACUAAGCCGUGACACGCCUGUUUACCAUGAACCCCAAAACAAGGUUAUUCUAACUAACUCAACUUGAAUUCACGACAGCUGGGAAACAAACUGGGAUUAGAUACCCCACUAUGCCCAACCGUAAACUUUAAAUUACACCACCAUCGCCAGGGAACUACGAGCUAAGCUUAAAACCCAAAGGACUUGACGGUACCCCACAUCCCCCUAGAGGAGCCUGUUCUAUAAUCGAUAAUCCACGUUUAACCUCACCAUUUCUAGCUAUCAGCCUGUAUACCUUCGUCGUCAGCCUACCACGUGAGCGCUAACACAGUAAGCUUAAUGUUAUUUCACCCACACGUCAGGUCAAGGUGCAGCUAAUGAAAAGGAAAGAAAUGGGCUACACUUUCUACACUAGAAAACACGAAAAACUACUAUGAAAUCUAGUUUAAAGGCGGAUUUAGAAGUAAAAAGGAAUCAGCAUGUCCAUUUUAACUCGGCACUGGGGUGUGUACACACCGCCCGUCACCCUCUUCAAAACC